rnacentral:rRNA from 1 species
UACGAAGGGGGCUAGCGUUGCUCGGAAUCACUGGGCGUAAAGGGUGCGUAGGCGGGUUUUUAAGUCAGGGGUGAAAUCCUGGAGCUCAACUCCAGAACUGCCUUUGAUACUGAAGAUCUUGAGUCCGGGAGAGGUGAGUGGAACUGCGAGUGUAGAGGUGAAAUUCGUAGAUAUUCGCAAGAACACCAGUGGCGAAGGCGGCUUACUGGCCCGGUACUGACGCUGAGGUGCGAAAGCGUGGGGAGCAAACAGG